rnacentral:rRNA from 1 species
UGGGGAAUAUGGACAAUGGGCGCAAGCCUGAUCCAGCCAUGCCGCGUGAGUGAUGAAGGCCUUAGGGUUGUAAAGCUCUUCGCCGGUGAAGAUAAUGACGGUAACCGGAGAAGAAGCCCCGGCGUAACUUCGUGCCAGCAGCCGCGGUAAUACGAAGGGGGCUAGCGUUGCUCGGAAUCACUGGGCGUAAAGCGCACGUAGGCGGAUCGUUAAGUCAGGGGUGAAAUCCUGGAGCUCAACUCCAGAACUGCCCUUGAUACUGGCGAUCUCGAGUUCGAGAGAGGUUGGUGGAACUCCGGAGUGUAGAGGUGAAAUUCGUAGAUAUUCGGAAGAACACCAGUGGCGAAGGCGGCCAACUGGCUCGAUACUGACGCUGAGGUGC